rnacentral:rRNA from 1 species
AUUGAACGCUGGCGGCAGGCCUAACACAUGCAAGUCGAAUGGUAACAGGAAACAGCUUGCUGUUUCGCUGACGAGUGGCGGACGGGUGAGUAAUGUCUGGGAAACUGCCUGAUGGAGGGGGAUAACUACUGGAAACGGUAGCUAAUACCGCAUAACGUCGCAAGACCAAAGAGGGGGACCUUCGGGCCUCUUGCCAUCAGACGUGCCCAGAUGGGAUUAGCUAGUAGGUGGGGUAACGGCUCACCUAGGCGACGAUCCCUAGCUGGUCUGAGAGGAUGACCAGCCACACUGGAACUGAGACACGGUCCAGACUCCUACGGGAGGCAGCAGUGGGGAAUAUUGCACAAUGGGCGCAAGCCUGAUGCAGCCAUGCCGCGUGUAUGAAGAAGGCCUUCGGGUUGUAAAGUACUUUCAGCGGGGAGGAAGGGAGUAAAGUUAAUACCUUUGCUCAUUGACGUUACCCGCAGAAGAAGCACCGGCUAACUCCGUG